rnacentral:rRNA from 1 species
AGCGCAGGCGGUUAGAUAAGUCUGAAGUUAAAGGCUGUGGCUUAACCAUAGUACGCUUUGGAAACUGUUUAACUUGAGUGCAAGAGGGGAGAGUGGAAUUCCAUGUGUAGCGGUGAAAUGCGUAGAUAUAUGGAGGAACACCGGUGGCGAAAGCGGCUCUCUGGCUUGUAACUGACGCUGAGGCUCGAAAGCGUGGGGAGCAAACA